rnacentral:rRNA from 1 species
CCCUUAGAUGUUCUGGGCCGCACGCGCGCUACACUGAUGAAUGCAACGAGCUCUACCCUUGACCGAAAGGCCCGGGUAAACUUGUGAAACUUCAUCGUGAUGGGGAUAGAUUAUUGCAAUUAUUAAUCUUCAACGAGGAAUUCCUAGUAAGCGCGAGUCAUCAGCUCGCGUUGAUUACGUCCCUGCCCUUUGUACACACCGCCCGUCGCUCCUACCGAUUGAAUGGUCCGGUGAAAUCUUCGGAUUGCUGACCAAGAUCCAGCAAUGGAGCUUGGUUGCGAGAAGUUGAUUAAACCUUAUUAUUUAGGGGAAGGAGAAGUCGUAACA